UAGGGAAUAUUGCAAAAUGGGCGAAAGCCCGAUGCAGCAACGCCGCGUGGGCGAUGAAGGCAUUCGGGUCGUAAAGCCCUUUUUGAGGGGAUGAGGAAGGACAGUACCCUCAGAAUAAGCCACGGCUAACUACGUGCCAGCAGCCGCGGUAAAACGUAGGAGGCGAGCGUUAUCCGGAUUUACUGGGCGUAAAGCGCGUGCAGGCGGAUUGGAGAGUUGGAUGUGAAAGCUCCCGGCUUAACUGGGAGAGGUCGUUCAAUACUUCCAGUCUUGAGUGCAGUAGAGGGAAGUGGAAUUCCGGGUGUAGUGGUGAAAUGCGUAGAUAUCCGGAGGAACACCAGUGGCGAAAGCGGCUUCCUGGACUGUAACUGACGCUCAGACGUGAAAGCUAGGGUAGCAAACG
rnacentral:rRNA from 1 species